rnacentral:rRNA from 1 species
UACGUAGGGGGCGAGCGUUGUCCGGAAUUAUUGGGCGUAAAGCGCACGUAGGCGGUUUGUUAAGUCGGAUGUGAAAUCCCUCGGCUCAACUGAGGAAGUGCACCCGAAACUGGCAAGCUUGAGUACUAAAAGAGGGUCGCGGAAUUCCCGGUGUAGAGGUGAAAUUCGUAGAUAUCAGGAGGAACACCGAUGGCGAAGGCGGCUCACUGGCCCGGUACUGACGCUGAGGUGCGAAAAGCGUGGGGGAGCAAAACAGG